GAGCAUGGCAGCACACUCCAGUAUUCCUGCCUGGAGAAUCCCAUGCACAGAGGAGCUUGGUGAACUACAGUCUGUAGGGUCACAAAGAGUCGGACAGGAUUGAAGUGACUUAGCACAGCCCAUGCAUAGUAUUGUCUGUACCCAAACCCAUCAGAGUGUUUACAAACUACAGUCCCUGUCCAUUUCACCGAGUGGGGUGGUGGAGCCCAGGGCACUCAGCCUGGGGGUGGGCAGCCGCUGGCAGUUGAUUCAGCUGCUCAGUGAUGUCUGAGCUGGGAUAUUUGUGCUAAUUUUGGUCUUUCCCUCCUAAUCAUAAAAUGACUGCAGAAGUUCCAGCAUUGCAUCUGGGUUCAAGGCAGGAAGACAAGAUGAGGAGAAAGUUUCACUUGUUUCUGUCCCUCUUAUUGGGAAAGUAAAACCCUUCUCAGAAAGCUCUCAAGUAUGUGUUCUGACUGGAUUUGUGUCUCAUGGCUGUCCCUAGCUUCAAAGGGGCUGGCAGAAUUUCCAGUCUUUGUAGGGGAUGGCAGCAACAGAAAGGGUUAAAAACAGUCAUUGAGAAUAGCCAGCCAAUAGCAUUUACUACCCGAGUUGCCACACUGAACAGGCUGUUGAUUUCUUUUCCUUACCUGGACCCACAAGAUUACCCUGGUCUCUGCAUCUUCUAAACCUAAAUCUUAAGAUUUUAAUUCCAUGAGCUAUCUCAUAUCCCUCUGUAUAAAUCUUCAAUAUCAACCUCUGUUGCUCAUGAACAGAAAAUUCUGACGAUCUACCCUACAACUGUAACCAUCAAUGUAACACGAAAACACACCAAGUGGACAGCAAGUGUUACUGACAAUUAUUUCACCCAAGGUUUCACCACUAGUUCACGCUGGCUGAUGGGACUCAGACUUGGGUCUCAUCUUCCAAGCCCCUGCAUUCUCCAUGCCAGCCAAUCUACCUCCCGGGGUUUGGUUUAUUAAAAAUUGUACUAACACUUAGAAUGCAGAGGAACAUAUCCAACCAAGAGAAACAAGAAAGAUGGCUAGGCUGCAGUUUUAAGAAACUUUCUUUAAAUAGUGGGUGUUGGGAAGGGAGGUGGGAAUGCCUCUGCCCCACCCCUGAGGUUCAGACCAACACAAUGGUUAAUUCAAAUAAGUAAUAAAGAAAAGACUGUUCCAUGGUUCCCAGAAUAGCUGGGCCCUUGAACUGUGGUACAAAUAACUUCCAGUUAGAGCCAGCCCCCUGCCAAGAAGAGGAUGGGAAGCCAGAGGCCAGGAACGUGGCCUUGCCUGAGGGUUGAGGCAACUGCUGGGAAGCUGUGGGAGGGAGUGGGCCCUGGAGUCAGUCUGCCUGUGUGGAACACCAGCUCUGAGGCUAACCAGCCACAGGACCUCGGAGAAUGUAAAGUCAGAUACUUGUUUCCCCAGACUUCUCUGCAAGGAGGGGUGAUUAGAGAAGUCUGCUGAUGCAGGGGAUAAAUUCUUGAAGGCGCUGAAAGAUGAAAAGUUACAAGGCCUGAAGACCAGGCAGCCUGGAAAGAAGUCGGCCUCUCUCUCCUGAGGAGCUGCCCACCAGAGUCUGGCAGCCGCCUCCUUAGGUGUUAGUGCUUAGAUAAUGUGUCCCGUUUGUUGUCAUUUCAAAGAUCGUUAUUUUCUGUUCUGUAUUUACUGCUGUUCUCGUUGCUCCCAGCACGUACUCCACAUACAGUGCCCACUUGCAUGGUAAA